rnacentral:lncRNA from 1 species
AAAUAAUAAGUUAAAUUAAACACCUAAACUUGAGGAUCGAUAUGCCUUUAGAUAAAAUCAUAACUCACUAAUUAUACUAACUGUUUUUUUAAAAAUCUGAUUAAGGCACCAUCCCGUUUAAACUCGCAAAUGAAAAUUUGGGGACAAAAACUUCAAGAGGAGGGAAGAUUCCGACACGAGAAAAAUUUUCCUAAGUGACAGAAAUUCCCUAACAAAAGUAGGUGUCUUCCUAGUGAGAGAAAAAUCUCUCCUAACAAAAAUUUCCAAAAUAAAGAGGUGACUAAUUUCAAUUCCUUAAUGUCCAAUUU